GAUCGGCUCCUACUCUCUUGCUUGGGAAUUAUAGAGCCUUUUUCAGCUUAGGCUUGUAUCAGUCCCCGAGACUCAGUCUUCUCAGAGAGUCUCUUGGUCGCCUCCUUCUGGUGCACAAUCGGUUCCUCUAUUCGUUGCACCACCGGCUCCUCAUGCUCAUGUCCCAGAGGUGCCUCCUCCGAUGGCUCCUCCGAUGCCGGCCGGGAUUCAUCCCGAUUUGAUGGUGCCGCCGAGUGCCCCUUACUCGCAGUACACUGUCGAGGACCUUCUCUCUCAGCCAGCAGAGAAGGUUUAUCAGUCCUACACCCCGACCGACCGGACGGAACUUUGUGGUACGUUACAUUUGUUUUUUAAUUCUUUUAAAAUUCUUUUAUAACAAUAAUAUAUAAUUUAUACUUUAAAUUUGUUUUUUUUUUCAGGUUUGGGGUUGACGGAUGUGUUGCUCGGAACGUAACCGAGACGAUCAAAGGUUACUUCUCCGAGCCACAUCCGAACUGGAAAAAGACGCCGAUCUACGUCAGAAAGACGUGGUUCAAAAUUUUCGCUGUAAGUUACUAUUAAUUAAUUAUAUAUACUUUAAUUUUUUAUGAUUUAGUUUUUAUUUUAUUUUUCAACACUAAUUCUUAAGUUAAUUUUUUCUGUUACAACAAAAAUACCAUUGGUCCAUGGGGGUCAAUGAGAGGGUGAAGAAAGCGUUUAACGCGAAGGCGAAAGCUCGCUUGUUGGACACGGUUUCCAACUGGAAGAGUGACUGGAUCGUGAAGGAGUAUGAGCGUGGCAAACCCCCUGAGCUCACCACGGAGGUGUGGGAUGGCCUCAUCCGUUAUUGGCGGGAUCCUGACUCCAUUAGAGUCACCGAAUCUUGCUAUGCCCCCCGUCAGACGGUAGAUGAGCACGGUCACGGGCCGAUUCUUCACUCUACGGGUUGAAAACCCCACGCCGGUGUCCGUCUGGAUAAAUAUUUAAUUAUUUUUUAUAUAUAUAUAUAUAUAUAUUCUAACUUUUUUAAAUGUUUUUUAGACCAAAGAGACGGGAGAACUCUCAUCUCUUUUGUAACUUUACGAGAGGGCCCACAAGAACAAGGCGGACCAAUUUCUAGAUGCUAGGUCCGAGCAGAUCUUUAACGACUUGGUUGGUCAGGUUGAAGACCGCCAGACCCAGCUGACCCAGAAGUCCACCGACGGAUUACCCGUCACCUUAACUGAUUAAAAUAUUUAACUCCCUGAUAACUGCUUCUGCUAGAGGAAGUUAUAAAUUACAACGUAGUUAGUGUUUUAAUAUAAUUAGAUGCAGUUAUAUAAAAAUCAGUUUUAAAAAAAAAUGGACUUAACUAAUAUUAAUAGGUAGGUUCCUGUUUUAAUAGUAUUUAUAAUUUUGUUUUUUAAUUCCUAAAAAGAAAAAAGAAUAAGAGAGAACGAGAGGAAAUUAUUAUUGGUCGUGAAUGGCGAAUUGGCUCCUUCGCCUUCCUCAGUCGCUCUUCGCCACCAUCAGUUUUGCGGUCUCUCGCUUCUUCUUCUUAUUCCUUUCGUAUUAUCAGUUUCAAUUGCACAGGUUUGUAAAAGCUUCCACCUUUCUUCAGUGGUUCUCCACAGGCUUACGAUAUUCUCACUUAUACUAUCUUAAUUUUUUGGGCUUAGGUCACUGAGGAGCAGCUUGAUGGUUGUUCAUCGGCUUUGGGCAGGUCUAAGUCUCUUUUACAAGUUCAUCUUUCUUUGUCACGACUAGUUUUGGUUGUUUAGGUUGUUGAAUGUUUCAUCACAUUCUGGGUCGGGUCUUGCUUUGUCUCCGCCGUUUUCUCCACCGCUUCAUAGAUCCGCCGUGUUCGAGCUCGUGGCCGCCAAUCUAAGUACACUUCAAUUAAGCCAUUGGGAGAUCGAGUUUUGGUGAAGAUCAAGGAGGCAGAACUUCGCGAUUUGUCAUCUCCAUACCACUAGCUUUUCUGCUCCACUUGUCCCUCCCAGAAAUUCGCGAUUUGUUAUCCAAAUCGGAGAAAUUUGUGGGUUUGAUGCAGCAGUACUAUCGGAGAAAUCUGUGGAGAUUAUGAAGAAGUUCUCGGAGCAGUACGCUCGUUUCUCAGGGACUUACUUAUGUGUUGAUAAAGGAGUUACUUCUGUCGUCGUCAAGGUUUGUAAAUUAACCUUAAAGUCUCCAACUUUCUGGUAGAAUUGUGUUGACUCAGCUUUCUGUUCUUUGUUCAAAGAUUAUAUGCUUUGGAGGAGAUUGGUUCUUUCUACUUGUAGAUAAUGACUUGCCAGAAGAUGUUUGGCGUUGUUUUCUUGAUAUAUACAGUAGGCAGUAGCUAUUAGAAAUCUU